UGGAGAAGUCAUUUUCAUACGUUCUCGUGCGAGUAAAGUUUUCUAGGAUUCAUUGUUUCUUUAAUGAUAUUGUAGCCCAGCUGUCACAACCAGUUUUCCUUGAAUUACUUCUGAAAUAUUAUAGGCCCAGUUACAAAAUAAUAAUACAAUAACUAUCACGAGGAGUCCGGCCUAAACGGAGACAGUUCGAAGAAGACCAAUUUGAUGCACUGAAAGAGCAAUCUGGAUUGGUUUCAAAGUUUUUGGUUAUGAUGCCAAUCUCAUUCCCGACUUCCGGAAAGGAAUAGUUAUUGGUGUCAUCGGAUCGGUGGGUGCUGGUAAAUCAUCUUUACUGCAAGAAAUUCUAGCAAUUCGAUGGAAACGAGUUGGUGGUGAAUAUAUAAGCUCUGGUACGAGAUAUUGAAACUAAUCAUCUUAUCGCAGAACCGAUAUGUUUCUGAAGCCAAGGAUGCUCAAAGCGGUCAUCACUUGUUCGAUAUAUGUAUCGAGCCCAGGAGCCGGUUAGAAUAAUAUGACGGUGCUGGAGUAAUUUAUCGUUGGACCACCGGUGCCACUAGACUCGUAAAUGAUUCGAAACUUUCAACAUCGAAACUCUCAAUUGUCGUGAAUACGUUCACAUUUGAAUUCAUGUUACCA